rnacentral:rRNA from 1 species
GCGGCGAGCAUACGUGCUGUCUCUCUUAACUACCCGAGAUAGACGCUCACACCUCAGCCUAGAAUUCACGUCGUCCGAGAGAUAGUGCCAACUUAACUAAGAAUUGACGGAGGCCCCGCAGGAGUGACCUCGCUUAUUUGCUCACCCGGGAAACUUCCAGGUCCAACAUAGUAGGAUUACAAUUAUACUUUUCUUAUUCUAGGGGUGGGCCUGCCGUUUAGUGGUGGAGGGAUUGUUUGGUAAAUCCGAUACGAAACGAGACCUUAACUGCUAACUAGAUUGAUCAUCUUAUGGUCGUUAUCUUCUAGAGGGACUAUGUAACAUAAAUACCAUGGAAGUUUAGGCCAAGACCGGGUCAGUGAUGCCCUUAUAUGUAAUGGGCUGCACGCGUGCUACACUGAAGUGGGGGGGGGGAAACAUAGCCAGACAUGGCAUGGCAAUCUCGAAUAUGCAUCGUGAUGGGGAUAGAUCUUUGCAAUUAUAGAUCUUGAACGAGGAAUUCCUAGUAAGUGCAAGUCAUCAUCUUGCAUUGAUUAUGUCCCUGCCCUUUGUACACACCGCCCGUCAGCUCCUACCGAUACCGGGUGAUCCGGUGAACCUUGGAGAGCAAGGGAAAUAAGAAUUGAUGUCACUUAUUCUUUUUUUUGACCAGUAAUUAG